CAGCUCUGACUUGAGGCUGUUCAAGAAUCAGCUCCACUUGAUCUGGUUCCACCUCUACCACAGGCAGAGAAACACAGGCCUGGACUCUUUGUUGGCCAGACAAAAUCAGAAACGGAAAUCAUUGGUUUUUACAACUGGGUCCAGUUCUACCUGCAAAGGAUAUAAGACCAGGGAGCAUGAUUUGUGGUGUGGCAGCCAUGGGUUGAGCCAGCCCUGCAAACCCUGUGGAUGGACGAUGCAGUGGACAGUGGGAGGAAGCAUCCUAAAGCUCUCUUUGCAGACCAGCCUGUGUGAUUCUCCACUCGCCGACCAGAAAAGACAAACGGCAGGUCUCAGUUGCAGCACCUCAUCCAUCCAUGUCUGAUCUUGCAUCGGCAGAUUCAGCAACACAGCCAGAGACUUCCUGUAAUCUAUUACAGUUGUUAAAAAACGGUCCAGGAACAGGUCACUCAGGUUAAUCCUGUAUAAACAACUGUAAAUAUUGUUUUUCCUUCUUUAAAUAUUGUUGGCUUAUUAGAAAUAUUCUUGUUUAAUUGUUGUUCUCCAAAAAGUUGAUUCUGUUCAUCUGGACGUAGCGUUUUGUGGGAGAAACGUUUCAUCACUCAUCCAAGUGACUUCUUCGGUCUCAGCUGACUGCAGGCUCCCCCAAUCUCAUAAACAGUACAUUUGCAUAAUGACUGAAACUGGCCCACUGAAUUGUUGUUGUUAUUUACUUUAUUGCCAUAUUGGGGCGAUCGUGGCUCAAGAGUUGGGAGGUUGCCUUGUAAUCGGAAGGUUGCCGAUUCGAG
ensembl:lncRNA